AUUGAACGCUGGCGGCAGGCCUAACACAUGCAAGUCGAACGAGUGGCGGACGGGUGAGUAAUGUCUGGGCAACUGCCUGAUGGAGGGGGAUAACUACUGGAAACUGUAGCUAAUACCGCAUACCAUCAGAUGUGCCCAGAUGGGAUUAGCUUGGGGGUGGGGUAACGGCUCACCAAGGCGACGAUCCCUAGCUGGUCGGAGAGGAUGACCAGCUACGCUUGAACUGAGACAGGGUCAAGACUCCUACGGGAGGCAGCAGUGGGGAAUAUUGCACAAUGGGCGCAAGCCUGAGGCAGCUAUGCCGCGUGUAUGAAGAAGGCCUUCGGCUUGUAAAGUACUUUCAGCGGGGAUGCUUUCGCUAUCGAACAAGGCUCACUAUAGGGUGGGUUGAGGGUAGGUGGAGAAGAAGCGCCGGCUAACUACGUGCCAGCAGCCGCGGUAAUAC
rnacentral:rRNA from 1 species